UUGCAGCCAGUUAAGCCAACCAUGCUCUUUUCCCCGUGGGGCUCAGUGUGCAGUGGUUGUGAACAGCACACUACCUCCUCUGUAGUGUAUUCAGCUUGUGGCCUGUAUGAGUCGCCCUAAGGAGACAGCC
ensembl:snoRNA SNORA70 Small nucleolar RNA SNORA70